UAUAGCAGCCAUAUCACCCUGCAAUUCACAACUGGCAACCCACUGAAGCUAAGCAGGUGUGAGCCUGGCCAGUACCUGGAUGUGAGACCUCCUGGGAAAAACUAAGGUUGCUGCUGGAA
rnacentral:rRNA from 1 species